rnacentral:rRNA from 1 species
CUCAGUUCGGAUUGGAGUCUGCAACCCGACUCCAUGAAGCUGGAUUCGCUAGUAAUCGCGCAUCAGCCACGGCGCGGUGAAUACGUUCCCGGGCCUUGUACACACCGCCCGUCAAGCCAUGAAAGCCGGGGGUACCUGAAGUGCGUAACCGCGAGGAGCGCCCUAGGGUAAAACUGGUGAUUGGGGCUAAGUCGUAACAAGGUAAC